rnacentral:lncRNA from 1 species
ACAUACAAAGAACAGAUAUCGUGCAGUAGGAACUUCGUUGAGGACUGCCUCGAUGAUGUGUUCAAGGAUGCUGCGGUACUAGCGCUGGACUCCUACAAACAGAGCAUCGACGAGAUCUGCACCACCGGUUCUGAGUUGUACAAAGCGUACCAUGAAUCCGUCGGCUGCUUGAAUUCUGUUGGCACAAAAAUCCACGGUUGCGUCAACGAUUUCUUUGGCAGUAAGCUGAAGGCCAUUUCGAAGGCGCCCAGGGAAGGCUUCUUUGCUUACUUCUGCUGUUCGUAUGGUGGCUUGUUCCAAUGCCUCGAACCAGCGCUUAAUUCUUGUGAGAAAGUUGGAGGCAAAGAGUUCACAGUCAACUUGGUUGAAAAGGUGUUCGGAGAUGUUCUGACACCGUUGUGUGGAAUCCACGACGGAGGAUCAGAGGUGUGCAAGUCGAUUCCCAACCUUCCGGCACUGGAUCCACGUGAUCAGAAUUCCAAACAUUACAUUGAGCUCAUAAUUGAAGCAGUAGACACGCUCAUUGGGCAAAACUAGCAACAUACUGUGGCCGAGUCAGGCUUAUGUCUUUACGAACAAAAGUAGUCAGAGCCAUUCCACUCUGCGAAGGUGGGGGACCAGUAGAGCUGACGGGUUCGCUCCCGUCACUGCUCUCAUCGCCAUUUUUUAUCAGCGCGCUGCUCCUCGGGCGUUCUCACAUAUGUGUGGCUGCCCCAUACCCGCUGCGGACGACCACUAUAACGUAGCGCCUCAACUAGAGUGACGUGCGAGACGCCUAAUGACUGGUUUUGAUCUUGUUAUUGCAUUGGCCCUUUCACCACUCCCAAAGACCACCAUG